UCCUGACCGUAAACGGUGUACACUAUGUGGUAGAGGUUUCUGAGCCUUUGCUGCAGUAGCUAAUGCGUUAAGUGUACCGCCUGGGUAGUACGAUCGCAAGGUUGAAACUCAAAGGAAUUGACGGGGGCUCACACAAGCGGUGGAGCAUGUUGCUUAAUUCGAAGCAACGCGAAGAACCUUACCUGGGCUUGAACUGUAGGGAUUAUCCCCAUGAAAGUGGGGUACGCUGUAAAGUGGAACUUAUAGAGGUGUUGCAUGGCUGUCGUCAGCUCGUGCCGUGAGGUGUUAGGUUAAGUCCUUUAACGAGCGAAACCCUUGCCCUUAUUUACCAGCGGAUCAUGCCGGGGACUAUAUGGGGACUGCCGGUGUUAAACCGGAGGAAGGCGGGGACGACGUCAAGUCAUCAUGGCCCUUAUGUCCAG
rnacentral:rRNA from 1 species